AUUUAACGCUGGCGUCAUGCCUUACACAUGCAAGUCUAACGGCAGCACGGGUGCUUGCACCUGGUGUCGAGUGGCGAACGGGUGAGUAAUACAUCGGAACGUACCUUAUCGUGGGGGAUAACACAUUGAAAAAUUUUCUAAUACCGCAUAAUACUCUGCGGAGCAAAGAGGGGGAUUCGUAAGACCCCCGUGCCAUUCGAGCGGCCGAUGGCUGAUUACGUAGUUGGUGAGGUAAAGGCCCACCAAGGCACCGAGCAGGAGCAGGUGUGAGAGGAUGAACUGCCACAGUGGAACUGAGAAACGGUCCAGACUCCUACGGGAGGCAGCAGUGGGGAAUUUUGGACAAUGGGGGCAACCCUGAUACAGCAAUGCCGCGUGAGUGAGGAAGGCCUUCGGGUUGUAAAGCUCUUUUGUCAGUGAAGAAAACUUUAAUAAUAACACUAUUAAAGCAUGACGGUAACUGAAGAAUGAGGACCGGCUAACUACGUGCCAGCCGCCGCAGUAA
rnacentral:rRNA from 1 species